CGCAUGGACGAAGUCUGACGGAGCAACGCCGCGUGAGUGAUGAAGGUUUUCGGAUCGUAAAGCUCUGUUGUUAGGGAAGAACAAGUGCCGUUCAAAUAGGGCGGCACCUUGACGGUACCUAACCAGAAAGCCACGGCUAACUACGUGCCAGCAGCCGCGGUAAUACGUAGGUGGCAAGCGUUGUCCGGAAUUAUUGGGCGUAAAGGGCUCGCAGGCGGUUUCUUAAGUCUGAUGUGAAAGCCCCCGGCUCAACCGGGGAGGGUCAUUGGAAACUGGGGAACUUGAGUGCAGAAGAGGAGAGUGGAAUUCCACGUGUAGCGGUGAAAUGCGUAGAGAUGUGGAGGAACACCAGUGGCGAAGGCGACUCUCUGGUCUGUAACUGACGCUGAGGAGCGAAAGCGUGGGGAGCGAACAGGAUUAGAUACCCUGGUAGUCCACGCCGUAAACGAUGAGUGCUAAGUGUUAGGGGGUUUCCGCCCCUUAGUGCUGCAGCUAACGCAUUAAGCACUCCGCCUGGGGAGUACGGUCGCAAGACUGAAACUCAAAGGAAUUGACGGGGGCCCGCACAAGCGGUGGAGCAUGUGGUUUAAUUCGAAGCAACGCGAAGAACCUUACCAGGUCUUGACAUCCUCUGACAAUCCUAGAGAUAGGACGUCCCCUUCGGGGGCAGAGUGACAGGUGGUGCAUGGUUGUCGUCAGCUCGUGUCGUGAGAUGUUGGGUUAAGUCCCGCAACGAGCGCAACCCUUGAUCUUAGUUGCCAGCAUUCAGUUGGGCACUCUAAGGUGACUGCCGGUGACAAACCGGAGGAAGGUGGGGAUGACGUCAAAUCAUCAUGCCCCUUAUGACCUGGGCUACACACGUGCUACAAUGGACAGAACAAAGGGCAGCGAAACCGCGAGGUUAAGCCAAUCCCACAAAUCUGUUCUCAGUUCGGAUCGCAGUCUGCAACUCGACUGCGUGAAGCUGGAAUCGCUAGUAAUCGCGGAUCAGCAUGCCGCGUGAAUACGUUCCCGGGCUUGUACACACCGCCCGUCACACCACGAGAGUUGUACACCGAGUCGUGAGUACCUUUAUGAGCCAGCCGCCGAGGUGGACGAAUGAUUGGGGGUGAGUCUAUACAA
rnacentral:rRNA from 1 species